rnacentral:snoRNA from 1 species
CGAACGGGGCAAUCCGAGGUGCACGUGGCUUGCGCCCGCUCGCGGGACUCUGUGCCGUGGUGCGACCUUCUGGUAGCGCCGGAGAGCC